rnacentral:rRNA from 1 species
CGGGGUGAGUAACGCGUGGGUAACCUGCCAUAUACAGGGGGAUAACAGCGAGAAAUUGCUGCUAAAACCGCAUAAGCGCACGGAGUCGCAUGACUCAGUGUGAAAAACUCCGGUGGUAUAUGAUGGACCCGCGUCUGAUUAGCCAGUUGGCAGGGUAACGGCCUACCAAAGCGACGAUCAGUAGCCGGCCUGAGAGGGUGGACGGCCACAUUGGGACUGAGACACGGCCCAAACUCCUACGGGAGGCAGCAG